UCCUCCCACCUCAACCUCCCAAACUGCUGGGAUUACAGGCUUGAGCCACUGCACCCGGCCUAUUCUCACUUUCUAUAUGGCUUCAGAUGGAGUCCCCCUCUAUCGCCCAGGCUAGAGUGCAACCUGAUUCUACAACUUGGCCACAUGAUCGUGAGCAAGUUACAUACCCCUGUUUGAGUUUCAGUUUCCCCUCUGCAACAACAAAAAAAGGUUGGAUUAAGUAACGAUUAAAACCCCUUCCUAGAUUUC